rnacentral:lncRNA from 1 species
GCGGUGUUCUAGCAGGUGGCUGCUUUCUCUGGGCUGGCUGUGGGAGGCUCCCGAGGUGGGGACCCGGCCGGGAUGGCUGCAGCGGCGGCCGGGGCUGGGAGCGGGCCCUCGGCGGCCCAGGAGAAGCAGUUCCUGCCGGCGCUGCUGAGUUUCUUCAUCUACAACCCGCGCUUCUGGCCGCGGGAAGGAGAGUUUAUCAAACUUUGUAGGUUGUUCGGAAUCCUAUAAUUGAAAAACAGUAAAGAUGGAAAACCAGUUAUUGAAUAUCAAGAGGAGGAGUUGUUGGCGGAAUUCUCCACGAGUUUUGAGCAGCCUCGGUUUUCCCACCACCUCCAAAUCAUGCAAGACACAGGGCAGAGCCCCCGGAGCCAUGGCCAGCCCUUCCGGCAGCUCCAAAGCCACUGGCAAGCCCCGAGGCAGGGAUGGCCGGCCCAGGAGGGAGGAGGACGACGUCCCUCCCGAAGAGAAGAGGCUGCGGCUCUUGCUGGAGGGGGGAAGCGCACAGCCCCAGGACUGCGAGGACGGGGAGGACGCGCCGCGGCCGGGCAGGGAGGAGACCGGCACCCAGACAGGUGGCGACGGCAGAGGAGCACUGUGCUGUGUUGCGGGAAGUCAGGGACCCCAAACGGAGGGACCAGCUGAAGCCAUGACAGAAGAACGUGGAUUAUGAAGAUUUUAUGGACAUUUAUUAGUUCCCCAAAUUAAUACUUUUGUAAUUUCUUAUGCCUGCCUUCACUGCAAUCUCUAAACAUAAAUUGUAAAGAUUUCAUGGACUAAACUUAUCACUUCCCUAAUCAAUACCCUUGUGAUUUCCUAUGCCUGUCAUUACUUUAAUCUCUUAAUCCUGUCAGCCGAGAAGGAUGUAUAUCGUCUCAGGACCUGUAAUAAUUGCGUUAAGUACACAAAUUAUACAGCAUGUGUGUUUGAGC